GCCGCGGUAAUUCCAGCUCCAAUAGCGUAUGCUAAAGUUGUUGCGGUUAAAAAGCUCGUAGUUGGAUUUCUGCUGAGGUCUUAUAGGAUAUCUGUCUAUUGUAAUAACAUGAUACAGUAUCUGAACCCUCGGCAUUUAUUCAGGAAUAGUGAUAUUCUCGUUGUACUAUCGUAUUUCGUUUCACUUUCCUGAGACUUUACUUUGAGGAAAUUAGAGUGUUCAAAGCAGGCUUUUGCCUUGUAUAUAUUAGCAUGGAAUAAUAAGAUAUGACUUUGGUUGUAUUUUGUUGGCUUCAAAAACUAAAGUAAUGAUUAAUAGAAACAGUCGGGGGCAUUCGUAUUUGAAAGUCAGAGGUGAAAUUCUUGGACCUUUCAACGACGAACUAGUGCGAAAGCAUUUGCCAAGUAUGUUUUCAUUGAUCAAGAACGAAAGUUAGGGGAUCGAAGACGAUCAGAUACCGUCGUAGUCCUAGCUAUAAACUAUGCCGACUAGGGAUUGGAAGUAGCAAUUUUGGCUCUUUCAGCACCUCGUGAGAAAUCAAAGUCUUUGGGUUCCGGGGGGAGUAUGGUCGCAAGGC
rnacentral:rRNA from 1 species